GACGAACGCUGGCGGCGUGCUUAACACAUGCAAGUCGAACGGAAAGGCCCUGCUUUUGUGGGGUGCUCGAGUGGCGAACGGGUGAGUAACACGUGAGUAACCUGCCCUUGACUUUGGGAUAACUUCAGGAAACUGGGGCUAAUACCGGAUAGGAGCUCCUGCUGCAUGGUGGGGGUUGGAAAGUUUCGGCGGUUGGGGAUGGACUCGCGGCUUAUCAGCUUGUUGGUGGGGUAGUGGCUUACCAAGGCUUUGACGGGUAGCCGGCCUGAGAGGGUGACCGGCCACAUUGGGACUGAGGUACGGCCCAGACUCCUACGGGAGGCAGAAGUGGGGAAUAUUGCACAAUGGGCGGAAGCCUGAUGCAGCAACGCCGCGUGCGGGAUGACGGCCUUCGGGUUGUAAACCGCUUUCGCCUGUGACGAAGCGUGAGUGACGGUAAUGGGUAAAGAAGCACCGGCUAACUACGUG
rnacentral:rRNA from 1 species